rnacentral:misc_RNA from 1 species
GAUGAAGAACGCAGCGAAAUGCGAUACUUGGUGUGAAUUGCAGAAUCCCGUGAACCAUCGAGUCUUUGAACGCAAGUUGCGCCUCAAGCCAUUAGGUUGAGGGCACGUCUGCCUGGGCGUCACAUAUCGUUGCCUGAUGCCAGUUUCCUCGUGAUGGGUGACUGUGCAGGGCGAAUGAUGGCUUCCCGUGAGCAUUGUUGCCUCAUGGUUGGUUGAAAAUUGAGUCCUUGGUAGGGAGCGCCGUGAUAGAUGGUGGUUGAGUGACGAACGAGACCCAAUCAUGUGAGACCCCUACCGAAUUUGGCCUUCAUGACCCACAUGCGUCUUUGGAACGCUCAUGACGAGACCUCAGGUCAGGCGGGGCUACCCGCUGAGUUUAAGCAUAUCAAAAGCGGAGGA